AUUGAACGCUGGCGGCAGGCCUAACACAUGCAAGUCGAGCGGAUGAAGGGAGCUUGCUCCUGGAUUCAGCGGCGGACGGGUGAGUAAUGCCUAGGAAUCGGCCUGGUAGUGGGGGAUAACGUCCGGAAACGGGCGCUAAUACCGCAUACGUCCUGAGGGGGAAAGUGGGGGAUCUUCGGACCUCACGCUAUCAGAUGAGCCUAGGUCGGAUUAGCUAGUUGGUGGGGUAAAGGCCUACCAAGGCGACGAUCCGUAACUGGUCUGAGAGGAUGAUCAGUCACACUGGAACUGAGACACGGUCCAGACUCCUACGGGAGGCAGCAGUGGGGAAUAUUGGACAAUGGGCGAAAGCCUGAUCCAGCCAUGCCGCGUGUGUGAAGAAGGUCUUCGGAUUGUAAAGCACUUUAAGUUGGGAGGAAGGGCAGUAAGUUAAUACCUUGCUGUUUUGACGUUACCAACAGAAUAAGCACCGGCUAACUUCGUG
rnacentral:rRNA from 1 species